UAUAAAAAAGACAAGUGAAGCGUCCGCUACUAAAGACGACAAAAGCACAGAUGACAACGCAGACGUUGGCCCAUACAGCAAUGAACCAGUUGCUGAUGAAGAAUGGCUUUCUAACUACCGUGGAAGAAAACAAAAAUAUGAUGACCGUUUGAAAGAACUUCAACGUAGACUUGACGGCGAAGAGAAAUAUGACCAAUGUAGGUACGCACAACCAACACAACCAUCUGUCUGAGUCAAAGCGCUGUUUGUCUAAAAGAAAAAGUCUUUCUUAAAAUGUAUGCAUAAUGUCAGUAGGGGUCAACAUAUGUUUUGACAGAAAAGCUCACGAAUGGCAAGUCAAAUUGUAAGAUCGCACUAUACUAGCAGGAAUAAAGGUAUAUACUAUAUACUUUGCUGCAAGGAACAUCGCUUGGUAUCUCUUCAUCCACAUUUAAUUCCAUUGGCACGCAGUGUUCGAAAUCCUCUGGCUCUUCUUCUGAUUCUCCUGGUCGAGACAAACUUGUGGACAAUGCUUCCUUUAAAACCUUUCGAAAAUGUCAACAAAUUUAUGUACAAAACAGUGAUUCUCAAAAUAGGUUCAUGUGUAUUUUCCUGUAUUUACCAUGUUUUAAAAAGCGUGCGUUAAUCUCUUGAAAUGGAAUGAAUAAACUUACCCUUCUCUUGGCUCUUGCUGACGGGGGA